GGAGCUAGGGUUAGGGUUAGGGUUAGGGUUGGAGUUAGGGUUGGUGUUGGAGCUAGGGUUAGGGUUGGGCUUUGAGCUAGGACUUUUCUGAGUGCAAUGAACCAACUCCCGAGUCUCUAGGACGUUCCCUAAAAAAAUUUGAUUUUUUCCCAUAGGAAUGCAUGGGUUAGGGUUAGGGUUAGGGUUAGGGUUGGAGCUAGGGUUAGGGUUAGGGUUAGGGUUGGAGUUAGGGUUAGUGUUGGAGCUAGGGUUAGGGUUGGGCUUGGAGCUAGGAUUUUUCUGAGUGCAAUGAACCAACUCCCGAGUCUCUAGGACGUUCCAAAAAAAAUUUGAUUUUUUCCCAUAGGAAUGCAUGGGUUAGGGUUAUGGUUAGGGUUAGGGUUGGAGCUAGGGUUAGGGUUAGGGUUAGGGUUGGAGUUAGGGUUAGUGUUGGCGCUAGGGUUAGGGUUGGGCUUGGAGCUAGGAUUUUUCUGAGUGCAAUGAACCAACUCCCGAGUCUCUAGGACGUUCCUAAAAAAAUUUGAUUUUUUCCCAUAGGAAUGCAUGGGUUAGGGUUAGGGUUAGGGUUGGAGCUAGGGUUAGGGUUAGGGUUAGGGUUGGAGAUAGGGUUAGUGUUGGAGCUAGGGUUAGGGUUGGGCUUGGAGCUAGGAUUUUUCUGAGUGCAAUGAACCAACUCCCGAGUCUCUAGGACGUUCCUAAAAAAAUUUGAUUUUUUCCCAUAGGAAUGCAUGGGUCAGGGUUAGGGUUAGGGUUGGAGCUAGGGUUAGGGUUAGGGUUAGGGUUGGAGUUAGGGUUAGUGUUGGAGCUAGGGUUAGGGUUGGGCUUGGAGCUAGGAUUUUUCUGAGUGCACUGAACCAACUCCCGAGUCUCUAGGACAUUCCUAAAAAAAUUUGAUUUUUUCCCAUAGGAAUGCAUGGGUUAGGGUUAGGGUUAGGGUUGGAGCUAGGGUUAGGGUUAGGGUUAGGGUUGGAGUUAGGGUUAGUGUUGGAGCUAGGGUUAGGGUUGGGCUUGGAGCUAGGAUUUUUCUGAGUGCACUGAACCAACUCCCGAGUCUCUAGGACAUUCCUAAAAAAAUUAGAUUUUUUCCCAUAGGAAUGCAUGGGUUAGGGUUAUGGUUAGGGUUAGGGUUGGAGCUAGGGUUAGGGUUAGGGUUAGGGUUGGAGUUAGGGUUGGUGUUGGAGCUAGGGUUAGGGUUGGGCUUUGAGCUAGGACUUUUCUGAGUGCAAUGAACCAACUCCCGAGUCUCUAGGACGUUCCCUAAAAAAAUUUGAUUUUUUCCCAUAGGAAUGCAUGGGUUAGGGUUAGGGUUAGGGUUAGGGUUGGAGCUAGGGUUAGGGUUAGGGUUAGGGUUAGAGUUAGGGUUAGUGUUGGAGCUAGGGUUAGGGUUGGGCUUGGAGCUAGGAUUUUUCUGAGUGCACUGAACCAACUCCCGAGUCUCUAGGACAUUCCUAAAAAAAAUUGACUUUUUCCCAUAGGAAUGCAUGGGUUAGGGUUAGGGUUAGGGUUAGGGUUGGAGCUAGGGUUAGGGUUAGGGUUAGGGUUGGAGUUAGGGUUAGUGUUGGAGCUAGGGUUAGGGUUGGGCUUGGAGCUAGGACUUUUCUGAGUGCAAUGAACCAACUCCCGAGUCUCUAGGACGUUCCCUAAAAAAAUUUGAUUUUUUCCCAUAGGAAUGCAUGGGUUAGGGUUAGGUGUGGGGUUGGAGCUAGGGUUAGGGUUAGGGUUAGGGUUGGAGUUAGGGUUAGUGUUGGAGCUAGGGUUAGGUUUGGGCUUGGAGCUAGGAUUUUUCUGAGUGCAAUGAACCAACUCCCGAGUCUCUAGGACGUUCCUAAAAAAUUUUGAUUUUUUCCCAUAGGAAUGCAUGGGUUAGGGUUAGGGUUAGGGUUGGAGCUAGGGUUAGGGUUAGGGUUAGGGUUGGAGUUAGGGUUAGUGUUGGAGCUAGGGUUAGGGUUGGGCUUGGAGCUAGGAUUUUUCUGAGUGCAAUGAACCAACUCCCGAGUCUCUAGGAAGUUCCUAAAAAAAUUUGAUUUUUUCCCAUAGGAAUGCAUGGGUUAGGGUUAGGGUUAGGGUUGGAGCUAGGGUUAGGGUUAGGGUUAGGGUUGGAGUUAGGGUUAGUGUUGGAGCGAGGGUUAGGGUUGGGCUUGGAGCUAGGAUUUUUCUGAGUGCAAUGAACCAACUCCCGAGUCUCUAGGACGUUCCUAAAAAAAUUUGAUUUUUUCCCAUAGGAAUGCAUGGGUUAGGGUUAGGGUUAGGGUUGGAGCUAGGGUUAGGGUUAGGGUUAGGGUUGGAGUUAGGGUUAGUGUUGGAGCUAGGGUUAGGGUUGGGCUUGGAGCUAGGAUUUUUCUGAGUGCAAUGAACCAACUCCCGAGUCUCUAGGACGUUCCUAAAAAAAUUUGAUUUUUUCCCAUAGGAAUGCAUGGGUUAGGGUUAGGGUUAGGGUUGGAGCUAGGGUUAGGGUUAGGGUUAGGGUUGGAGUUAGGGUUAGUGUUAGAGCUAGGGUAAGGUUUGGGCUUGGAGCUAGGAUUUUUCUGAGUGCAAUGAACCAACUCCCGAGUCUCUAGGACGUUCCUAAAAAAAUUUGAUUUUUUUCCAUAGGAAUGCAUGGGUUAGGGUUAUGGUUAGGGUUAGGGUUGGAGCUAGGGUUAGGGUUAGGGUUAGGGUUGGAGUUAGGGUUAGUGUUGGAGCUAGGGUUAGGGUUGGGCUUGGAGCUAGGAUUUAUCUGAGUGCAAUGAACCAACUCCCGAGUCUCUAGGACGUUCCUAAAAAAAUUUGAUUUUUUCCCAUAGGAAUGCAUGGGUUAGGGUUAGGGUUAGGGUUGGAGCUAGGGUUAGGGUUAGGGUUAGGGUUGCAGUUAGGGUUAGUGUUGGAGCUAGGGUAAGGUUUGGGCUUGGAGCUAGGAUUUUUCUGAGUGCAAUGAACCAACUCCCGAGUCUCUAGGACGUUCCUAAAAAAAUUUGAUUUUUUUCCAUAGGAAUGCAUGGGUUAGGGUUAGGGUUGGAGCUAGUGUUAGGGUUAGGGUUGGAGCUAGGGUUAGGGUUAGGGUUAGGGUUGGAGUUAGGGUUAGUGUUGGAGCUAGGGUUAGGGUUGGGCUUGGAGCUAGGAUUUUUCUGAGUGCAAUGAACCAACUCCCGAGGCUCUUGGACGUUCCUAAAAAAAUUAGAUUUUUUCCCAUAGGAAUGCAUGGGUUAGGGUUAGGGUUAGGGUUGGAGCUAGGGUUAGGGUUAGGGUUAGGGUUGGAGUUAGGGUUAGUGUUGGAGCUAGGGUUAGGGUUGGGCUUGGAGCUAGGAUUUUUCUGAGUGCAAUGAACCAACUCCCGAGUCUCUAGGACGUUCCUAAAAAAAUUUGAUUUUUUCCCAUAGGAAUGCAUGGGUUAGGGUUAGGGUUAGGGUUGGAGCUAGGGUUAGGGUUAGGGUUAGGGUUGGAGUUAAGGUUAGUGUUGGAGCUAGGGUUAGGGUUGGGCUUGGAGCUAGGAUUUUUCUGAGUGCAGUGAACCAACUCCCGAGUCUCUAGGACGUUCCUAAAAAAAUUUGAUUUUUUCCCAUAGGAAUGCAUGGGUUAGGGUUAUGGUUAGGGUUAGGGUUGGAGCUAGGGUUAGGGUUAGGGUUAGGGUUGGAGUUAGGGUUAGUGUUGGAGCUAGGGUUAGGGUUGGGCUUGGAGCUAGGAUUUUUCUGAGUGCAAUGAACCAACUCCCGAGUCUCUAGGACGUUCCUAAAAAAAUUUGAUUUUUUCCCAUAGGAAUGCAUGGGUUAGGGUUAGGGUUAGGGUUGGAGCUAGGGUUAGGGUUAGGGUUGGAGUUAGGGUUAGUGUUGGAGCUAGGGUUAGGGUUGGGCUUGGAGCUAGGAUUUUUCUGAGUGCACUGAACCAACUCCCGAGUCUCUAGGACAUUCCUAAAAAAAUUUGAUUUUUUCCCAUAGGAAUGCAUGGGUUAGGGUUAUGGUUAGGGUUAGGGUUGGAGCUAGGGUUAGGGUUAGGGUUAGGGUUGGAGUUAGGGUUAGUGUUGGAGCUAGGGUUAGGGUUGGGCUUGGAGCUAGGAUUUUUCUGAGUGCAAUGAACCAACUCCCGAGUCUCUAGGACGUUCCUAAAAAAAUUUGAUUUUUUCCCAUAGGAAUGCAUGGGUUAGGGUUAGGGUUAGGGUUGGAGCUAGGGUUAGGGUUAGGGUUAGGGUUGGAGUUAGGGUUAGUGUUAGAGCUAGGGUAAGGUUUGGGCUUGGAGCUAGGAUUUUUCUGAGUGCAAUGAACCAACUCCCGAGUCUCUAGGACGUUCCUAAAAAAAUUUGAUUUUUUCCCAUAGGAAUGCAUGGGUUAGGGUUAGGGUUAGGGUUGGAGCUAGGGUUAGGGUUAGGGUUAGGGUUGCAGUUAGGGUUAGUGUUGGAGCUAGGGUAAGGUUUGGGCUUGGAGCUAGGAUUUUUCUGAGUGCAAUGAACCAACUCCCGAGUCUCUAGGACGUUCCUAAAAAAAUUUGAUUUUUUUCCCAUAGGAAUGCAUGGGUUAGGGUUAUGGUUAGGGUUAGGGUUGGAGCUAGGGUUAGGGUUAGGGUUAGGGUUGGAGUUAGGGUUAGUGUUGGAGCUAGGGUUAGGGUUGGGCUUGGAGCUAGGAUUUAUCUGAGUGCAAUGAACCAACCCCCGAGUCUCUAGGACGUUCCUAAAAAAAUUUGAUUUUUUCCCAUAGGAAUGCAUGGGUUAGGGUUAUGGUUAGCGUUAGGGUUGGAGCUAGGGUUAGGGUUAGGGUUAGGGUUGGAGUUAGGGUUAGUGUUGGAGCUAGGGUUAGGGUUGGGCUUGGAGCUAGGAUUUUUCUGAGUGCACUGAACCAACUCCCGAGUCUCUAGGACGUUCCUAAAAAAAUUUGAUUUUUUCCCAUAGGAAUGCAUGGGUCAGGGUUAGGGUUAGGGUUGGAGCUAGGGUUAGGGUUAGGGUUAGGGUUGGAGUUAGGGUUAGUGUUGGAGCUAGGGUUAGGGUUGGGCUUGGAGCUAGGAUUUUUCUGAGUGCAAUGAACCAACUCCCGAGUCUCUAGGACGUUCCUAAAAAAAUUUGAUUUUUUCCCAUAGGAAUGCAUGGGUUAGGGUUAGGGUUAGGGUUAGGGUUGGAGCUAGGGUUAGGGUUAGGGUUAGGGUUGGAGUUAGGGUUAGUGUUGGAGCUAGGGUUAGGGUUGGGCUUGGAGCUAGGAUUUUUCUGAGUGCAAUGAACCAACUCCCGAGUCUCUAGGACGUUCCUAAAAAAAUUUGAUUUUUUCCCAUAGGAAUGCAUGGGUUAGGGUUAGGGUUAGGGUUGGAGCUAGGGUUAGGGUUAGGGUUAGGGUUGGAGUUAGGGUUAGUGUUGGAGCUAGGGUUAGGGUUGGGCUUGGAGCUAGGAUUUUUCUGAGUGCAAUGAACCAACUCCCGAGUCUCUAGGACGUUCCUAAAAAAAUUUGAUUUUUUCCCAUAGGAAUGCAUGGGUUAGGGUUAGGGUUAGGGUUGGAGCUAGGGUUAGGGUUAGGGUUAGGGUUGGAGUUAGGGUUAGUGUUGGAGCUAGGGUUAGGGUUGGGCUUGGAACUAGGACUUUUCUGAGUGCAAUGAACCAACUCCCGAGUCUCUAGGACGUUCCCUAAAAAAAUUUGAUUUUUUCCCAUAGGAAUGCAUGGGUUAGGGUUAGGGUUAGGGUUGGAGCUAGGGUUAGGGUUAGGGUUAGGGUUAGAGUUAGGGUUAGUGUUGGAGCUAGGGUUAGGGUUGGGCUUGGAGCUAGGAUUUUUCUGAGUGCACUGAACCAACUCCCGAGUCUCUAGGACGUUCCUAAAAAAAUUUGAUUUUUUCCCAUAGGAAUGCAUGGGUUAGGGUUAGGGUUAGGGUUGGAGCUAGGGUAAGGGUUAGGGUUAGGGUUGGAGUUAGGGUUAGUGUUGGAGCUAGGGUUAGGGUUGGGCUUGGAGCUAGGACUUUUCUGAGUGCAAUGAACCAACUCCCGAGUCUCUAGGACGUUCCCUAAUAAAAUUUGAUUUUUUCCCAUAGGAAUGCAUGGGUUAGGGUUAGGGUUAGGGUUGGAGCUAGGGUUAGGGUUAGGGUUAGGGUUGGAGUUAGGGUUAGUGUUGGAGCUAGGGUUAGGGUUGGGCUUGGAGCUAGGAUUUUUCUGAGUGCACUGAACCAACUCCCGAGUCUCUAGGACAUUCCUAAAAAAAUUUGAUUUUUUCCCAUAGGAAUGCAUGGGUUAGGGUUAUGGUUAGGGUUAGGGUUGGAGCUAGGGUUAGGGUUAGGGUUAGGGUUGGAGUUAGGGUUAGUGUUGGAGCUAGGGUUAGGGUUGGGCUUGGAGCUAGGAUUUUUCUGAGUGCAAUGAACCAACUCCCGAGUCUCUUGGACAUUCCUAAAAAAAUUUGAUUUUUUCCCAUAGGAAUGCAUGGGUUAGGGUUAGGGUUAGGGUUGGAGCUAGGGUUAGGGUUAGGGUUAGGGUUGGAGUUAGGGUUAGUGUUGGAGCUAGGGUUAGGGUUGGGCUUGGAGCUAGGAUUUUUCUGAGUGCAAUGAACCAACUCCCGAGUCUCUAGGACGUUCCUAAAAAAAUUUGAUUUUUUCCCAUAGGAAUGCAUGGGUUAGGGUUAGGGUUAGGGUUAGGGUUGGAGCUAGGGUUAGGGUUAGGGUUAGGGUUGGAGUUAGGGUUAGUGUUGGAGCUAGGGUUAGGGUUGGGCUUGGAGCUAGGAUUUUUCUGAGUGCAAUGAACCAACCCCGAGUCUCUAGGACGUUCCUAAAAAAAUUUGAUUUUUUCCCAUAGGAAUGCAUGGGUUAGGGUUAUGGUUAGGGUUAGGGUUGGAGCUAGGGUUAGGGUUAGGGUUAGGGUUGGAGUUAGGGUUAGUGUUGGAGCUAGGGUUAGGGUUGGGCUUGGAGCUAGGAUUUUUCUGAGUGCACUGAACCAACUCCCGAGUCUCUAGGACAUUCCUAAAAAAAAUUGAUUUUUUCCCAUAGGAAUGCAUGGGUUAGGGUUAGGGUUAGGGUUGGAGCUAGGGUUAGGGUUAGGGUUGGAGUUAGGGUUAGUGUUGGAGCUAGGGUUAGGGUUGGGCUUGGAGCUAGGACUUUUCUGAGUACAAUGAACCAACUCCCGAGUCUCUAGGACGUUCCCUAAAAAAAUUUGAUUUUUUCCCAUAGGAAUGCAUGGGUUAGGGUUAGGGUUAGGGUUGGAGCUAGGGUUAGGGUUAGGGUUAGGGUUGGAGUUAGGGUUAGUGUUGGAGCUAGGGUUAGGGUUGGGCUUGGAGCUAGGAUUUUUCUGAGUGCACUGAACCAACUCCCGAGUCUCUAGGACAUUCCUAAAAAAAUUUGAUUUUUUCCCAUAGGAAUGCAUGGGUUAGGGUUAUGGUUAGGGUUAGGGUUGGAGCUAGGGUUAGGGUUAGGGUUAGGGUUGGAGUUAGGGUUAGUGUUGGAGCUAGGGUUAGGGUUGGGCUUGGAGCUAGGAUUUUUCUGAGUGCAAUGAACCAACUCCUGAGUCUCUAGGACUUUCCUAAAAAAAUUUGAUUUUUUCCCAUAGGAAUGCAUGGGUUAGGGUUAGGGUUAGGGUUAGGGUUGGAGCUAGGGUUAGGGUUAGGGUUAGGGUUGGAGUUAGGGUUAGUGUUGGAGCUAGGGUUAGGGUUGGGCUUGGAGCUAGGAUUUUUCUGAGUGCAAUGAACCAACCCCUAGUCUCUAGGACGUUCCUAAAAAAAUUUGAUUUUUUCCCAUAGGAAUGCAUGGGUUAGGGUUAUGGUUAGGGUUAGGGUUGGAGCUAGGGUUAGGGUUAGGGUUAGGGUUGGAGUUAGGGUUAGUGUUGGAGCUAGGGUUAGGGUUGGGCUUGGAGCUAGGAUUUUUCUGAGUGCACUGAACCAACUCCCGAGUCUCUAGGACAUUCCUAAAAAAAUUGAUUUUUUCCCAUAGGAAUGCAUGGGUUAGGGUUAGGGUUGGAGCUAGGGUUAGGGUUAGGGUUGGAGUUAGGGUUAGUGUUGGAGCUAGGGUUAGGGUUGGGCUUGGAGCUAGGACUUUUCUGAGUGCAAUGAACCAACUCCCGAGUCUCUAGGACGUUCCCUAAAAAAAUUUGAUUUUUUCCCAUAGGAAUGCAUGGGUUAGGGUUAGGGUUAGGGUUGGAGCUAGGGUUAGGGUUAGGGUUAGGGUUGGAGUUAGGGUUAGUGUUGGAGCUAGGGUUAGGGUUGGGCUUGGAGCUAGGAUUUUUCUGAGUGCACUGAACCAACUCCCGAGUCUCUAGGACAUUCCUAAAAAAAUUGAUUUUUUCCCAUAGGAAUGCAUGGGUUAGGGUUAGGGUUAGGGUUGGAGCUAGGGUUAGGGUUAGGGUUAGGGUUGGAGUUAGGGUUAGUGUUGGAGCUAGGGUUAGGGUUGGGCUUGGAGCUAGGAUUUUUCUGAGUGCACUGAACCAACUCCCGAGUCUCUAGGACAUUCCUAAAAAAAAAUUUGAUUUUUUCCCAUAGGAAUGCAUGGGUUAGGGUUAUGGUUAGGGUAAGGGUUGGAGCUAGGGUUAGGGUUAGGGUUAGGGUUGGAGUUAGGGUUAGUGUUGGAGCUAGGGUUAGGGUUGGGCUUGGAGCUAGGAUUUUUCUGAGUGCAAUGAACCAACUCCCGAGUCUCUUGGACAUUCCUAAAAAAAUUUGAUUUUUUCCCAUAGGAAUGCAUGGGUUAGGGUUAGGGUUAGGGUUGGAGCUAGGGUUAGGGUUAGGGUUAGUGUUGGAGCUAGGGUUAGGGUUGGGCUUGGAGCUAGGACUUUUCUGAGUGCAAUGAACCAACUCCCGAGUCUCUAGGACGUUCCCUAAAAAAAUUUGAUUUUUUCCCAUAGGAAUGCAUGGGUUAGGGUUAGGGUUAGGGUUGGAGCUAGGGUUAGGGUUAGGGUUAGGGUUGGAGUUAGGGUUAGUGUUGGAGCUAGGGUUAGGGUUGGGCUUGGAGCUAGGAUUUUUCUGAGUGCACUGAACCAACUCCCGAGUCUCUAGGACAUUCCUAAAAAAAUUUGAUUUUUUCCCAUAGGAAUGCAUGGGUUAGGGUUAUGGUUAGGGUUAGGGUUGGAGCUAGGGUUAGGGUUAGGGUUAGGGUUGGAGUUAGGGUUAGUGUUGGAGCUAGGGUUAGGGUUGGGCUUGGAGCUAGGAUUUUUCUGAGUGCAAUGAACCAACUCCCGAGUCUCUAGGACGUUCCUAAAAAAUUUGAUUUUUUCCCAUAGGAAUGCAUGGGUUAGGGUUAGGGUUAGGGUUGGAGCUAGGGUUAGGGUUAGGGUUAGGGUUGGAGUUAGGGUUAGUGUUGGAGCUAGGGUUAGGGUUGGGCUUGGAGCUAGGAUUUUUCUGAGUGCAAUGAACCAACUCCCGAGUCUCUAGGACGUUCCUAAAAAAAUUUGAUUUUUUCCCAUAGGAAUGCAUGGGUUAGGGUUAGGGUUAGGGUUAGGGUUGGAUCUAGGGUUAGGGUUAGGGUUAGGGUUGGAGUUAGGGUUAGUGUUGGAGCUAGGGUUAGGGUUGGGCUUGGAGCUAGGAUUUUUCUGAGUGCAAUGAACCAACCCCGAGUCUCUAGGACGUUCCUAAAAAAAUUUGAUUUUUUCCCAUAGGAAUGCAUGGGUUAGGGUUAUGGUUAGGGUUAGGGUUGGAGCUAGGGUUAGGGUUAGGGUUAGGGUUGGAGUUAGGGUUAGUGUUGGAGCUAGGGUUAGGGUUGGGCUUGGAGCUAGGAUUUUUCUGAGUGCACUGAACCAACUCCCGAGUCUCUAGGACAUUCCUAAAAAAAAUUGAUUUUUUCCCAUAGGAAUGCAUGGGUUAGGGUUAGGGUUAGGGUUGGAGCUAGGGUUAGGGUUAGGGUUGGAGUUAGGGUUAGUGUUGGAGCUAGGGUUAGGGUUGGGCUUGGAGCUAGGACUUUUCUGAGUGCAAUGAACCAACUCCCGAGUCUCUAGGACGUUCCCUAAAAAAAUUUGAUUUUUUCCCAUAGGAAUGCAUGGGUUAGGGUUAGGGUUAGGGUUGGAGCUAGGGUUAGGGUUAGGGUUAGGGUUGGAGUUAGGGUUAGUGUUGGAGCUAGGGUUAGGGUUGGGCUUGGAGCUAGGAUUUUUCUGAGUGCACUGAACCAACUCCCGAGUCUCUAGGACAUUCCUAAAAAAAAUUGAUUUUUUUCCCAUAGGAAUGCAUGGGUUAGGGUUAGGGUUAGGGUUGGAGCUAGGGUUAGGGUUAGGGUUAGGGUUGGAGUUAGGGUUAGUGUUGGAGCUAGGGUUAGGGUUGGGCUUGGAGCUAGGAUUUUUCUGAGUGCACUGAACCAACUCCCGAGUCUCUAGGACAUUCCUAAAAAAAUUUGAUUUUUUCCCAUAGGAAUGCAUGGGUUAGGGCUAUGGUUAGGGUAAGGGUUGGAGCUAGGGUUAGGGUUAGGGUGAGGGUUGGAGUUAGGGUUAGUGUUGGAGCUAGGGUUAGGGUUGGGCUUGGAGCUAGGAUUUUUCUGAGUGCAAUGAACCAACUCCCGAGUCUCUUGGACAUUCCUAAAAAAAUUUGAUUUUUUCCCAUAGGAAUGCAUGGGUUAGGGUUAGGGUUAGGGUUGGAGCUAGGGUUAGGGUUAGGGUUAGGGUUGGAGUUAGGGUUAGUGUUGGAGCUAGGGUUAGGGUUGGGCUUGGAGCUAGGAUUUUUCUGAGUGCAAUGAACCAACUCCCGAGUCUCUAGGACGUUCCUAAAAAAAUUUGAUUUUUUCCCAUAGGAAUGCAUGGGUUAGGGUUAGGGUUAGGGUUAGGGUUGGAGCUAGGGUUAGGGUUAGGGUUAGGGUUGGAGUUAGGGUUAGUGUUGGAGCUAGGGUUAGGGUUGGGCUUGGAGCUAGGAUUUUUCUGAGUGCAAUGAACCAACCCCGAGUCUCUAGGACGUUCCUAAAAAAAUUUGAUUUUUUCCCAUAGGAAUGCAUGGGUUAGGGUUAUGGUUAGGGUUAGGGUUGGAGCUAGGGUUAGGGUUAGGGUUAGGGUUGGAGUUAGGGUUAGUGUUUGAGCUAGGGUUAGGGUUGGGCUUGGAGCUAGGAUUUUUCUGAGUGCAAUGAACCAACUCCCGAGUCUCUAGGACGUUCCUAAAAAAAUUUGAUUUUUUCCCAUAGGAAUGCAUGGGUUAGGGUUAGGGUUAGGGUUGGAGCUAGGGUUAGGGUUAGGGUUAGGGUUGGAGUUAGGGUUAGUGUUGGAGCUAGGGUUAGGGUUGGGCUUGGAGCUAGGAUUUUUCUGAGUGCAAUGAACCAACUCCCGAGUCUCUAGGACGUUCCUAAAACAAUUUGAUUUUUUCCCAUAGGAAUGCAUGGGUUAGGGUUAGGGUUAGGGUUGGAGCUAGGGUUAGGGUUAGGGUUAGGGUUGGAGUUAGGGUUAGUGUUGGAGCUAGGGUUAGGGUUGGGCUUGGAGCUAGGACUUUUCUGAGUGCAAUGAACCAACUCCCGAGUCUCUAGGACGUUCCCUAAAAAAAUUUGAUUUUUUCCCAUAGGAAUGCAUGGGUUAGGGUUAGGGUUAGGGUUGGAGCUAGGGUUAGGGUUAGGGUUAGGGUUAGAGUUAGGGUUAGUGUUGGAGCUAGGGUUAGGGUUGGGCUUGGAGCUAGGAUUUUUCUGAGUGCACUGAACCAACUCCCGAGUCUCUAGGACAUUCCUAAAAAAAUUGAUUUUUUUCCAUAGGAAUGCAUGGGUUAGGGUUAGGGUUAGGGUUGGAGCUAGGGUUAGUGUUAGGUUUAGGGUUGGAGUUAGGGUUAGUGUUUGAGCUAGGGUUAGGGCUGGGCUUGGAGCUAGGAUUUUUCUGAGUGCAAUGAACCAACUCCCGAGUCUCUAGGACGUUCCUAAAAAAAAUUGAUUUUUUCCCAUAGGAAUGCAUGGGUUAGGGUUAGGGUUAGGGUUGGAGCUAGGGUUAGGGUUAGGGUUAGGGUUGGAGUUAGGGUUAGUGUUGGAGCUAGGGUUAGGGUUGGGCUUGGAGCUAGGAUUUUUCUGAGUGCAAUGAACCAACUCCCGAGUCUCUAGGACGUUCCUAAAAAAAUUUGAUUUUUUCCCAUAGGAAUGCAUGGGUUAGGGUUAGGGUUAGGGUUGGAGCUAGGGUUAGGGUUAGGGUUAGGGUUGGAGUUAGGGUUAGUGUUGGAGCUAGGGUUAGGGUUGGGCUUGGAGCUAGGAUUUUUCUGAGUGCACUGAACCAACUCCCGAGUCUCUAGGACAUUCCUAAAAAAAUUUGAUUUUUUCCCAUAGGAAUGCAUGGGUUAGGGUUAGGGUUAGGGUUGGAGCUAGGGUUAGGGUUAGGGUUGGAGUUAGGGUUAGUGUUGGAGCUAGGGUUAGGGUUGGGCUUGGAGCUAGGACUUUUCUGAGUGCAAUGAACCAACUCCCGAGUCUCUAGGACGUUCCCUAAAAAAAAUUGAUUUUUUCCCAUAGGAAUGCAUGGGUUAGGGUUAGGGUUAGGGUUGGAGCUAGGGUUAGGGUUAGGGUUAGGGUUAGAGUUAGGGUUAGUGUUGGAGCUAGGGUUAGGGUUGGGCUUGGAGCUAGGAUUUUUCUGAGUGCACUGAACCAACUCCCGAGUCUCUAGGACAUUCCUAAAAAAAAUUGAUUUUUUUCCAUAGGAAUGCAUGGGUUAGGGUUAGGGUUAGGGUUGGAGCUAGGGUUAGUGUUAGGUUUAGGGUUGGAGUUAGGGUUAGUGUUGGAGUUAGGGUUAGGGUUGGGCUUGGAGCUAGGAUUUUUCUGAGUGCAAUGAACCAACUCCCGAGUCUCUAGGACGUUCCUAAAAAAAUUUGAUUUUUUCCCAUAGGAAUGCAUGGGUUAGGGUUAGGGUUAGGGUUGGAGCUAGGGUUAGGGUUAGGGUUAGGGUUGGAGUUAGGGUUAGUGUUGGAGCUAGGGUUAGGGUUGGGCUUGGAGCUAGGAUUUUUCUGAGUGCACUGAACCAACUCCCGAGUCUCUAGGACAUUCCUAAAAAAAUUUGAUUUUUUCCCAUAGGAAUGCAUGGGUUAGGGUUAUGGUUAGGGUUAGGGUUGGAGCUAGGGUUAGGGUUAGGGUUAGGGUUGGAGUUAGGGUUAGUGUUGGAGCUAGGGUUAGGGUUGGGCUUGGAGCUAGGAUUUUUCUGAGAGGCACUGAACCAACUCCCGAGUCUCUAGGACAUUCCUAAAAAAAUUUGAUUUUUCCCAUAGGAAUGCAUGGGUUAGGGUUAUGGUUAGGGUUAGGGUUGGAGCUAGGGUUAGGGUUAGGGUUAGGGUUGGAGUUAUGGUUAGUGUUGGAGCUAGGGUUAGGGUUGGGCUUGGAGCUAGGAUUUUUCUGAGUGCAAUGAACCAACUCCCGAGUCUCUAGGACGUUCCUAAAAAAAUUUGAUUUUUUCCCAUAGGAAUGCAUGGGUUAGGGUUAGGGUUAGGGUUGGAGCUAGGGUUAGGGUUAGGGUUAGGGUUAGGGUUGGAGUUAGGGUUAGUGUUGGAGCUAGGGUUAGGGUUGGGCUUGGAGCUAGGAUUUUUCUGAGUGCACUGAACCAACUCCCGAGUCUCUAGGACAUUCCUAAAAAAAUUUGAUUUUUUCCCAUAGGAAUGCAUGGGUUAGGGUUAGGGUUAGGGUUGGAGCUAGGGUUAGGGUUAGGGUUAGGGUUGGAGUUAGGGUUAGUGUUGGAGCUAGGGUUAGGGUUGGGCUUGGACUAGGAUUUUUCUGAGUGCACUGAACCAACUCCCGAGUCUCUAGGACAUUCCUAAAAAAAUUUGAUUUUUUCCCAUAGGAAUGCAUGGGUUAGGGUUAUGGUUAGGGUUAGGGUUGGAGCUAGGGUUAGGGUUAGGGUUAGGGUUGGAGUUAGGGUUAGUGUUGGAGCUAGGGUUAGGGUUGGGCUUGGAGCUAGGAUUUUUCUGAGUGCAAUGAACCAACUCCCGAGUCUCUUGGACGUUCCUAAAAAAAUUUGAUUUUUUCCCAUAGGAAUGCAUGGGUUAGGGUUAGGGUUAGGGUUGGAGCUAGGGUUAGGGUUAGGGUUAGGGUUGGAGUUAGGGUUAGUGUUGGAGCUAGGGUUAGGGUUGGGCUUGGAGCUAGGAUUUUUCUGAGUGCACUGAACCAACUCCCGAGUCUCUAGGACAUUCCUAAAAAAAUUUGAUUUUUUCCCAUAGGAAUGCAUGGGUUAGGGUUAUGUUUAGGGUUAGGGUUGGAGCUAGGGUUAGGGUUAGGGUUAGGGUUGGAGUUAGGGUUAGUGUUGGAGCUAGGGUUAGGGUUGGGCUUGGAGCUAGGAUUUUUCUGAGUGCAAUGAACCAACUCCCGAGUCUCUUGGACGUUCCUAAAAAAAUUUGAUUUUUUCCCAUAGGAAUGCAUGGGUUAGGGUUAGGGUUAGGGUUGGAGCUAGGGUUAGGGUUAGGGUUAGGGUUGGAGUUAGGGUUAGUGUUGGAGCUAGGGUUAGGGUUGGGCUUGGAGCUAGGAUUUUUCUGAGUGCAAUGAACCAACUCCCGAGUCUCUAGGACGUUCCUAAAAAAAUUUGAUUUUUUCCCAUAGGAAUGCAUGGGUUAGGGUUAGGGUUAGGGUUAGGGUUGGAGCUAGGGUUAGGGUUAGGGUUAGGGUUGGAGUUAGGGUUAGUGUUGGAGCUAGGGUUAGGGUUGGGCUUGGAGCUAGGAUUUUUCUGAGUGCAAUGAACCAACCCCGAGUCUCUAGGACGUUCCUAAAAAAUUUGAUUUUUUCCCAUAGGAAUGCAUGGGUUAGGGUUAUGGUUAGGGUUAGGGUUGGAGCUAGGGUUAGGGUUAGGGUUAGGGUUGGAGUUAGGGUUAGUGUUUGAGCUAGGGUUAGGGUUGGGCUUGGAGCUAGGAUUUUUCUGAGUGCAAUGAACCAACUCCCGAGUCUCUAGGACGUUCCUAAAAAAAUUUGAUUUUUUCCCAUAGGAAUGCAUGGGUUAGGGUUAGGGUUAGGGUUGGAGCUAGGGUUAGGGUUAGGGUUAGGGUUGGAGUUAGGGUUAGUGUUGGAGCUAGGGUUAGGGUUGGGCUUGGAGCUAGGAUUUUUCUGAGUGCAAUGAACCAACUCCCGAGUCUCUAGGACGUUCCUAAAACAAUUUGAUUUUUUCCCAUAGGAAUGCAUGGGUUAGGGUUAGGGUUAGGGUUGGAGCUAGGGUUAGGGUUAGGGUUAGGGUUGGAGUUAGGGUUAGUGUUGGAGCUAGGGUUAGGGUUGGGCUUGGAGCUAGGACUUUUCUGAGUGCAAUGAACCAACUCCCGAGUCUCUAGGACGUUCCCUAAAAAAAUUUGAUUUUUUCCCAUAGGAAUGCAUGGGUUAGGGUUAGGGUUAGGGUUGGAGCUAGGGUUAGGGUUAGGGUUAGGGUUAGAGUUAGGGUUAGUGUUGGAGCUAGGGUUAGGGUUGGGCUUGGAGCUAGGAUUUUUCUGAGUGCACUGAACCAACUCCCGAGUCUCUAGGACAUUCCUAAAAAAAUUGAUUUUUUUCCAUAGGAAUGCAUGGGUUAGGGUUAGGGUUAGGGUUGGAGCUAGGGUUAGUGUUAGGUUUAGGGUUGGAGUUAGGGUUAGUGUUGGAGCUAGGGUUAGGGUUGGGCUUGGAGCUAGGAUUUUUCUGAGUGCAAUGAACCAACUCCCGAGUCUCUAGGACGUUCCUAAAAAAAUUGAUUUUUUCCCAUAGGAAUGCAUGGGUUAGGGUUAGGGUUAGGGUUGGAGCUAGGGUUAGGGUUAGGGUUAGGGUUGGAGUUAGGGUUAGUGUUGGAGCUAGGGUUAGGGUUGGGCUUGGAGCUAGGAUUUUUCUGAGUGCAAUGAACCAACUCCCGAGUCUCUAGGACGUUCCUAAAAAAAUUUGAUUUUUUCCCAUAGGAAUGCAUGGGUUAGGGUUAGGGUUAGGGUUGGAGCUAGGGUUAGGGUUAGGGUUAGGGUUGGAGUUAGGGUUAGUGUUGGAGCUAGGGUUAGGGUUGGGCUUGGAGCUAGGAUUUUUCUGAGUGCACUGAACCAACUCCCGAGUCUCUAGGACAUUCCUAAAAAAAUUUGAUUUUUUCCCAUAGGAAUGCAUGGGUUAGGGUUAGGGUUAGGGUUGGAGCUAGGGUUAGGGUUAGGGUUGGAGUUAGGGUUAGUGUUGGAGCUAGGGUUAGGGUUGGGCUUGGAGCUAGGACUUUUCUGAGUGCAAUGAACCAACUCCCGAGUCUCUAGGACGUUCCCUAAAAAAAAUUGAUUUUUUCCCAUAGGAAUGCAUGGGUUAGGGUUAGGGUUAGGGUUGGAGCUAGGGUUAGGGUUAGGGUUAGGGUUAGAGUUAGGGUUAGUGUUGGAGCUAGGGUUAGGGUUGGGCUUGGAGCUAGGAUUUUUCUGAGUGCACUGAACCAACUCCCGAGUCUCUAGGACAUUCCUAAAAAAAAUUGAUUUUUUUCCCAUAGGAAUGCAUGGGUUAGGGUUAGGGUUAGGGUUGGAGCUAGGGUUAGUGUUAGGUUUAGGGUUGGAGUUAGGGUUAGUGUUGGAGUUAGGGUUAGGGUUGGGCUUGGAGCUAGGAUUUUUCUGAGUGCAAUGAACCAACUCCCGAGUCUCUAGGACGUUCCUAAAAAAAUUUGAUUUUUUCCCAUAGGAAUGCAUGGGUUAGGGUUAGGGUUAGGGUUGGAGCUAGGGUUAGGGUUAGGGUUAGGGUUGGAGUUAGGGUUAGUGUUGGAGCUAGGGUUAGGGUUGGGCUUGGAGCUAGGAUUUUUCUGAGUGCACUGAACCAACUCCCGAGUCUCUAGGACAUUCCUAAAAAAAUUUGAUUUUUUCCCAUAGGAAUGCAUGGGUUAGGGUUAUGGUUAGGGUUAGGGUUGGAGCUAGGGUUAGGGUUAGGGUUAGGGUUGGAGUUAGGGUUAGUGUUGGAGCUAGGGUUAGGGUUGGGCUUGGAGCUAGGAUUUUUCUGAGAGCACUGAACCAACUCCCGAGUCUCUAGGACAUUCCUAAAAAAAUUUGAUUUUUUCCCAUAGGAAUGCAUGGGUUAGGGUUAUGGUUAGGGUUAGGGUUGGAGCUAGGGUUAGGGUUAGGGUUAGGGUUGGAGUUAUGGUUAGUGUUGGAGCUAGGGUUAGGGUUGGGCUUGGAGCUAGGAUUUUUCUGAGUGCAAUGAACCAACUCCAGAGUCUCUAGGACGUUCCUAAAAAAAUUUGAUUUUUUCCCAUAGGAAUGCAUGGGUUAGGGUUAGGGUUAGGGUUGGAGCUAGGGUUAGGGUUAGGGUUAGGGUUAGGGUUGGAGUUAGGGUUAGUGUUGGAGCUAGGGUUAGGGUUGGGCUUGGAGCUAGGAUUUUUCUGAGUGCACUGAACCAACUCCCGAGUCUCUAGGACAUUCCUAAAAAAAUUUGAUUUUUUCCCAUAGGAAUGCAUGGGUUAGGGUUAGGGUUAGGGUUGGAGCUAGGGUUAGGGUUAGGGUUAGGGUUGGAGUUAGGGUUAGUGUUGGAGCUAGGGUUAGGGUUGGGCUUGGAGCUAGGAUUUUUCUGAGUGCACUGAACCAACUCCCGAGUCUCUAGGACAUUCCUAAAAAAUUUGAUUUUUUCCCAUAGGAAUGCAUGGGUUAGGGUUAUGGUUAGGGUUAGGGUUGGAGCUAGGGUUAGGGUUAGGGUUAGGGUUGGAGUUAGGGUUAGUGUUGGAGCUAGGGUUAGGGUUGGGCUUGGAGCUAGGAUUUUUCUGAGUGCAAUGAACCAACUCCCGAGUCUCUUGGACGUUCCUAAAAAAAUUUGAUUUUUUCCCAUAGGAAUGCAUGGGUUAGGGUUAGGGUUAGGGUUGGAGCUAGGGUUAGGGUUAGGGUUAGGGUUGGAGUUAGGGUUAGUGUUGGAGCUAGGGUUAGGGUUGGGCUUGGAGCUAGGAUUUUUCUGAGUGCACUGAACCAACUCCCGAGUCUCUAGGACAUUCCUAAAAAAAUUAGAUUUUUUCCCAUAGGAAUGCAUGGGUUAGGGUUAUGUUUAGGGUUAGGGUUGGAGCUAGGGUUAGGGUUAGGGUUAGGGUUGGAGUUAGGGUUAGUGUUGGAGCUAGGGUUAGGGUUGGGCUUGGAGCUAGGAUUUUUCUGAGUGCAAUGAACCAACUCCCGAGUCUCUUGGACGUUCCUAAAAAAAUUUGAUUUUUUCCCAUAGGAAUGCAUGGGUUAGGGUUAGGGUUAGGGUUGGAGCUAGGGUUAGGGUUAGGGUUAGGGUUGGAGUUAGGGUUAGUGUUGGAGCUAGGGUUAGGGUUGGGCUUGGAGCUAGGAUUUUUCUGAGUGCAAUGAACCAACUCCCGAGUCUCUAGGACGUUCCUAAAAAAAUUUGAUUUUUUCCCAUAGGAAUGCAUGGGUUAGGGUUAGGGUUAGGGUUGGAGCUAGGGUUAGGGUUAGGGUUAGGGUUGGAGUUAAGGUUAGUGUUGGAGCUAGGGUUAGGGUUGGGCUUGGAGCUAGGAUUUUUCUGAGUGCAAUGAACCAACUACCGAGUCUCUAGGACGUUCCUAAAAAAAUUUGAUUUUUUCCCAUAGGAAUGCAUGGGUUAGGGUUAUGGUUAGGGUUAGGGUUGGAGCUAGGGUUAGGGUUAGGGUUAGGGUUGGAGUUAGGGUUAGUGUUGGAGCUAGGGUUAGGGUUGGGCUUGGAGCUAGGAUUUUUCUGAGUGCAAUGAACCAACCCCCGAGUCUCUAGGACGUUCCUAAAAAAAUUUGAUUUUUUCCCAUAGGAAUGCAUGGGUUAGGGUUAUGGUUAGGGUUAGGGUUGGAGCUAGGGUUAGGGUUAGGGUUAGGGUUGGAGUUAGGGUUAGUGUUGGAGCUAGGGUUAGGGUUGGGCUUGGAGCUAGGAUUUUUCUGAGUGCAAUGAACCAACUCCCGAGUCUCUAGGACAUUCCUAAAAAAAUUUGAUUUUUUCCCAUAGGAAUGCAUGGGUUAGGGUUAGGGUUAGGGUUGGAGCUAGGGUUAGGGUUAGGGUUAGGGUUGGAGUUAGGGUUAGUGUUGGAGCUAGGGUUAGGGUUGGGCUUGGAGCUAGGAUUUUUCUGAGUGCAAUGAACCAACUCCCGAGUCUCUAGGACGUUCCUAAAAAAAUUUGAUUUUUUCCCAUAGGAAUGCAUGGGUUAGGGUUAGGGUUAGGGUUGGAGCUAGGGUUAGGGUUAGGGUUAGGGUUAGUGUUGGAGCUAGGGUUAGGGUUGGGCUUGGAGCUAGGAUUUUUCUGAGUGCACUGAACCAACUCCCGAGUCUCUAGGACAUUCCUAAAAAAAUUAGAUUUUUUCCCAUAGGAAUGCAUGGGUUAGGGUUAGGGUUAGGCUUGGAGCUAGGGUUAGGGUUAGGGUUAGGGUUGGAGUUAGGGUUAGUGUUGGAGCUAGGGUUAGGGUUGGGCUUGGAGCUAGGAUUUUUCUGAGUGCAAUGAACCAACUCCCGAGUCUCUAGGACGUUCCUAAAAAAAUUUGAUUUUUUCCCAUAGGAAUGCAUGGGUUAGGGUUAGGGUUAGGGUUGGAGCUAGGGUUAGGGUUAGGGUUAGGGUUGGAGUUAGGGUUAGUGUUGGAGCUAGGGUUAGGGUUGGGCUUGGAGCUAGGAUUUUUCUGAGUGCACUGAACCAACUCCCGAGUCUCUAGGACAUUCCUAAAAAAAUUUGAUUUUUUCCCAUAGGAAUGCAUGGGUUAGGGUUAUGGUUAGGGUUAGGGUUGGAGCUAGGGUUAGGGUUAGGGUUAGGGUUGGAGUUAGGGUUAGUGUUGGAGCUAGGGUUAGGGUUGGGCUUGGAGCUAGGAUUUUUCUGAGUGCACUGAACCAACUCCCGAGUCUCUAGGACAUUCCUAAAAAAAUUUGAUUUUUUCCCAUAGGAAUGCAUGGGUUAGGGUUAGGGUUAGGCUUGGAGCUAGGGUUAGGGUUAGGGUUAGGGUUGGAGUUAGGGUUAGUGUUGGAGCUAGGGUUAGGGUUGGGCUUGGAGCUAGGAUUUUUCUGAGUGCACUGAACCAACUCCCGAGUCUCUAGGACAUUCCUAAAAAAAAUUGAUUUUUUUCCCAUAGGAAUGCAUGGGUUAGGGUUAUGGUUAGGGUUAGGGUUGGAGCUAGGGUUAGGGUUGGAGUUAGGGUUAGUGUUGGAGCUAGGGUUAGGGUUAGGGUUAGGGUUAGGGUUAGGGUUAGGGUUAGGUUAGGGUUAGGGUUGGAGCUAGGGUUAGGGUUAGGGUUAGGGUUGGAGUUAGGGUUAGUGUUGGACCUAGGGUUAGGGUUGGGCUUGGAGCUAGGAUUUUUCUGAGUGCAAUGAACCAACUCCCGAGUCUCUAGGACGUUCCUAAACAAAUUUGAUUUUUUCCCAUAGGAAUGCAUGGGUUAGGGUUAGGGUUAGGGUUGGAGCUAGGGUUAGGGUUAGGGUUAGGGUUGGAGUUAGGGUUAGUGUUGGAGCUAGGGUUAGGGUUGGGCUUGGAGCUAGGAUUUUUCUGAGUGCAAUGAACCAACUCCCGAGUCUCUAGGACGUUCCUAAAAAAUUUGAUUUUUUCCCAUAGGAAUGCAUGGGUUAGGGUUAGGGUUAGGGUUGGAGCUAGGGUUAGGGUUAGGGUUAGGGUUGGAGUUAAGGUUAGUGUUGGAGCUAGGGUUAGGGUUGGGCUUGGAGCUAGGAUUUUUCUGAGUGCAAUGAACCAACUCCCGAGUCUCUAGGACGUUCCUAAAAAAAAUUGAUUUUUUCCCAUAGGAAUGCAUGGGUUAGGGUUAUGGUUAGGGUUAGGGUUGGAGCUAGGGUUAGGGUUAGGGUUAGGGUUGGAGUUAGGGUUAGUGUUGGAGCUAGGGUUAGGGUUGGGCUUGGAGCUAGGAUUUUUCUGAGUGCAAUGAACCAACCCCCGAGUCUCUAGGACGUUCCUAAAAAAAUUUGAUUUUUUCCCAUAGGAAUGCAUGGGUUAGGGUUAUGGUUAGGGUUAGGGUUGGAGCUAGGGUUAGGGUUAGGGUUAGGGUUGGAGUUAGGGUUAGUGUUGGAGCUAGGGUUAGGGUUGGGCUUGGAGCUAGGAUUUUUCUGAGUGCAAUGAACCAACUCCCGAGUCUCUAGGACGUUCCUAAAAAAAUUUGAUUUUUUUCCCCNNNNNNNNNNNNNNNNNNNNNNNNNNNNNNNNNNNNNNNNNNNNNNNNNNNNNNNNNNNNNNNNNNNNNNNNNNNNNNNNNNNNNNNNNNNNNNNNNNNNNNNNNNNNNNNNNNNNNNNNNNNNNNNNNNNNNNNNNNNNNNNNNNNNNNNNNNNNNNNNNNNNNNNNNNNNNNNNNNNNNNNNNNNNNNNNNNNNNNNNGUCUCUGAGGACAUUCCUAAAAAAAAUUUGAUUUUUCCCAUAGGAAUGCAUGGAGUUGGGGUUAGGGUUAGGGUUGGAGCUAGGGUUAGGGUUAGGGUUGGGGUUGGAGUUAGGGUUAGUGUUGGAGCUAGGGUUAGGGUUGGGCUUGGAGCUAGGAUUUUUCUGAGUGCAAUGAACCAACUCCCGAGUCUCUAGGACGUUCCUAAAAAAAUUUGAUUUUUUCCCAUAGGAAUGCAUGGGUUAGGGUUAGGGUUAGGGUUGGAGCUAGGGUUAGGGUUAGGGUUAGGGUUGGAGUUAGGGUUAGUGUUGGAGCUAGGGUUAGGGUUGGGCUUGGAGCUAGGAUUUUUCUGAGUGCACUGAACCAACUCCCGAGUCUCUAGGACGUUCCUAAAAAAAUUUGAUUUUUUUCCCAUAGGAAUGCAUGGGUUAGGGUUAUGGUUAGGGUUGGAGCUAGGGUUAGGGUUAGGGUUAGGGUUGGAGUUAGGGUUAGUGUUGGAGCUAGGGUUAGGGUUGGGCUUGGAGCUAGGAUUUUUCUGAGUGCACUGAACCAACUCCCGAGUCUCUAGGACGUUCCUAAAAAAAUUUGAUUUUUUCCCAUAGGAAUGCAUGGGUUAGGGUUAGGGUUAGGGUUGGAGCUAGGGUUAGGGUUAGGGUUAGGGUUGGAGUUAGGGUUAGUGUUGGAGCUAGGGUUAGGGUUGGGCUUGGAGCUAGGAUUUUUCUGAGUGCACUGAACCAACUCCCGAGUCUCUAGGACGUUCCUAAAAAAAAAUUUGAUUUUUUCCCAUAGGAAAUGCAUGGGUUAGGGUUAGGGUUAGGGUUGGAGCUAGGGUUAGGGUUAGGGUUAGGGUUGGAGUUAGGGUUAGUGUUGGAGCUAGGGUUAGGGUUGGGCUUGGAGCUAGGAUUUUUCUGAGUGCACUGAACCAACUCCCGAGUCUCUAGGACAUUCCUAAAAAAAUUUGAUUUUUUCCCAUAGGAAUGCAUGGGUUAGGGUUAUGGUUGGGGUUAGGGUUGGAGCUAGGGUUAGGGUUAGGGUUAGGGUUGGAGUUAGGGUUAGUGUUGGAGCUAGGGUUAGGGUUGGGCUUGGAGCUAGGAUUUUUCUGAGUGCACUGAACCAACUCCCGAGUCUCUAGGACAUUCCUAAAAAAAAUUGAUUUUUUCCCAUAGGAAUGCAUGGGUUAGGGUUAUGGUUAGGGUUAGGGUUGGAGCUAGGGUUAGGGUUAGGGUUAGGGUUGGAGUUAGGGUUAGUGUUGGAGCUAGGGUUAGGGUUGGGCUUGGAGCUAGGAUUUUUCUGAGUGCACUGAACCAACUCCCGAGUCUCUAGGACAUUCCUAAAAAAAUUUGAUUUUUCCCAUAGGAAUGCAUGGGUUAGGGUUAGGGUUAGGGUUGGAGCUAGGGUUAGGGUUAGGGUUAGGGUUGGAGUUAGGGUUAGUGUUGGAGCUAGGGUUAGGGUUGGGCUUGGAGCUAGGAUUUUUCUGAGUGCACUGAACCAACUCCCGAGUCUCUAGGACAUUCCUAAAAAAAUUUGAUUUUUUCCCAUAGGAAUGCAUGGGUUAGGGUUAGGGUUAGGGUUGGAGCUAGGGUUAGGGUUAGGGUUAGGGUUGGAGUUAGGGUUAGUGUUGGAGCUAGGGUUAGGGUUGGGCUUGGAGCUAGGAUUUUUCUGAGUGCACUGAACCAACUCCCGAGUCUCUAGGACAUUCCUAAAAAAAUUUGAUUUUUCCCAUAGGAAUGCAUGGGUUAGGGUUAUGGUUAGUUAGGGUUGGAGCUAGGGUUAGGGUUAGGGUUAGGGUUGGAGUUAGGGUUAGUGUUGGAGCUAGGGUUAGGGUUGGGCUUGGAGCUAGGAUUUUUCUGAGUGCAAUGAACCAACUCCCGAGUCUCUAGGACGUUCCUAAAAAAAUUUGAUUUUUUUCCCAUAGGAAUGCAUGGGUUAGGGUUAGGGUUAGGGUUAGGGUUGGAGCUAGGGUUAGGGUUAGGGUUAGGGUUGGAGUUAGGGUUAGUGUUGGAGCUAGGGUUAGGGUUGGGCUUGGAGCUAGGAUUUUUCUGAGUGCAAUGAACCAACUCCCGAGUCUCUAGGACGUUCCUAAAAAAAUUUGAUUUUUUCCCAUAGGAAUGCAUGGGUUAGGGUUAUGGUUAGGGUUAGGGUUGGAGCUAGGGUUAGGGUUAGGGUUAGGGUUGGAGUUAGGGUUAGUGUUGGAGCUAGGGUUAGGGUUGGGCUUGGAGCUAGGAUUUUCUGAGUGCAAUGAACCAACUCCCGAGUCUCUAGGACGUUCCUAAAAAAAUUUGAUUUUUUCCCAUAGGAAUGCAUGGGUUAGGGUUAGGGUUAGGGUUGGAGCUAGGGUUAGGGUUAGGGUUAGGGUUGGAGUUAGGGUUAGUGUUGGAGCUAGGGUUAGGGUUGGGCUUGGAGCUAGGAUUUUUCUGAGUGCAAUGAACCAACUCCCGAGUCUCUAGGACGUUCCUAAAAAAUUUGAUUUUUUCCCAUAGGAAUGCAUGGGUUAGGGUUAGGGUUAGGGUUAGGGUUGGAGCUAGGGUUAGGGUUAGGGUUAGGGUUGGAGUUAGGGUUAGUGUUGGAGCUAGGGUUAGGGUUGGGCUUGGAGCUAGGAUUUUCUGAGUGCACUGAACCAACUCCCGAGUCUCUAGGACAUUCCUAAAAAAAUUUGAUUUUUUCCCAUAGGAAUGCAUGGGUUAGGGUUAGGGUUAGGGUUAGGGUUGGAGCUAGGGUUAGGGUUAGGGUUAGGGUUGGAGUUAGGGUUAGUGUUGGAGCUAGGGUUAGGGUUGGGCUUGGAGCUAGGAUUUUUCUGAGUGCACUGAACCAACUCCCGAGUCUCUAGGACAUUCCUAAAAAAAUUUGAUUUUUCCCAUAGGAAUGCAUGGGUUAGGGUUAGGGUUAGGGUUGGAGCUAGGGUUAGGGUUAGGGUUGGAGUUAGGGUUAGUGUUGGAGCUAGGGUUAGGGUUGGGCUUGGAGCUAGGAUUUUUCUGAGUGCAAUGAACCAACUCCCGAGUCUCUAGGACGUUCCUAAAAAAUUUGAUUUUUUCCCAUAGGAAUGCAUGGGUUAGGGUUAGGGUUAGGGUUGGAGCUAGGGUUAGGGUUAGGGUUAGGGUUGGAGUUAGGGUUAGUGUUGGAGCUAGGGUUAGGGUUGGGCUUGGAGCUAGGAUUUUUCUGAGUGCACUGAACCAACUCCCGAGUCUCUAGGACGUUCCUAAAAAAAUUUGAUUUUUUCCCAUAGGAAUGCAUGGGUUAGGGUUAGGGUUAGGGUUAGGGUUGGAGCUAGGGUUAGGGUUAGGGUUAGGGUUGGAGUUAGGGUUAGUGUUGGAGCUAGGGUUAGGGUUGGGCUUGGAGCUAGGAUUUUUCUGAGUGCACUGAACCAACUCCCGAGUCUCUCUAGGAGGCGUUCCUAAAAAAUUUGAUUUUUUCCCAUAGGAAUGCAUGGGUUAGGGUUAGGGUUAGGGUUAGGGUUGGAGCUAGGGUUAGGGUUAGGGUUAGGGUUGGAGUUAGGGUUAGUGUUGGAGCUAGGGUUAGGGUUGGGCUUGGAGCUAGGAUUUUUCUGAGUGCAAUGAACCAACUCCCGAGUCUCUUGGACGUUCCUAAAAAAAUUUGAUUUUUUUCCCAUAGGAAUGCAUGGGUUAGGGUUAGGGUUAGGGUUGGAGCUAGGGUUAGGGUUAGGGUUAGGGUUGGAGUUAGGGUUAGUGUUGGAGCUAGGGUUAGGGUUGGGCUUGGAGCUAGGAUUUUUCUGAGUGCACUGAACCAACUCCCGAGUCUCUAGGACAUUCCUAAAAAAAUUUGAUUUUUUCCCAUAGGAAUGCAUGGGUUAGGGUUAGGGUUAGGGUUGGAGCUAGGGUUAGGGUUAGGGUUAGGGUUGGAGUUAGGGUUAGUGUUGGAGCUAGGGUUAGGGUUGGGCUUGGAGCUAGGAUUUUUCUGAGUGCACUGAACCAACUCCCGAGUCUCUAGGACAUUCCUAAAAAAAUUUGAUUUUUUCCCAUAGGAAUGCAUGGGUUAGGGUUAUGGUUAGGGUUAGGGUUGGAGCUAGGGUUAGGGUUAGGGUUAGGGUUGGAGUUAGGGUUAGUGUUGGAGCUAGGGUUAGGGUUGGGCUUGGAGCUAGGAUUUUUCUGAGUGCACUGAACCAACUCCCGAGUCUCUAGGACGUUCCUAAAAAAUUUGAUUUUUUCCCAUAGGAAUGCAUGGGUUAGGGUUAUGGUUAGGGUUAGGGUUGGAGCUAGGGUUAGGGUUAGGGUUAGGGUUGGAGUUAGGGUUAGUGUUGGAGCUAGGGUUAGGGUUGGGCUUGGAGCUAGGAUUUUUCUGAGUGCACUGAACCAACUCCCGAGUCUCUAGGACAUUCCUAAAAAAAUUUGAUUUUUUUCCCAUAGGAAUGCAUGGGUUAGGGUUAGGGUUAGGGUUGGAGCUAGGGUUAGGGUUAGGGUUAGGGUUGGAGUUAGGGUUAGUGUUGGAGCUAGGGUUAGGGUUGGGCUUGGAGCUAGGAUUUUUCUGAGUGCACUGAACCAACUCCCGAGUCUCUAGGACAUUCCUAAAAAAAAAUUUGAUUUUUUCCCAUAGGAAUGCAUGGGUUAGGGUUAUGGUUAGGGUUAGGGUUGGAGCUAGGGUUAGGGUUAGGGUUAGGGUUGGAGUUAGGGUUAGUGUUGGAGCUAGGGUUAGGGUUGGGCUUGGAGCUAGGAUUUUUCUGAGUGCACUGAACCAACUCCCGAGUCUCUAGGACAUUCCUAAAAAAAAAUUGAUUUUUUCCCAUAGGAAUGCAUGGGUUAGGGUUAUGGUUAGGGUUAGGGUUGGAGCUAGGGUUAGGGUUAGGGUUAGGGUUGGAGUUAGGGUUAGUGUUGGAGCUAGGGUUAGGGUUGGGCUUGGAGCUAGGAUUUUUCUGAGUGCAAUGAACCAACUCCCGAGUCUCUAGGACAUUCCUAAAAAAAUUUGAUUUUUUCCCAUAGGAAUGCAUGGGUUAGGGUUAGGGUUAGGGUUGGAGCUAGGGUUAGGGUUAGGGUUGGGUUGGAGUUAGGGUUAGUGUUGGAGCUAGGGUUAGGGUUGGGCUUGGAGCUAGGAUUUUUCUGAGUGCAAUGAACCAACUCCCGAGUCUCUAGGACAUUCCUAAAAAAAUUUGAUUUUUUCCCAUAGGAAUGCAUGGGUUAGGGUUAGGGUUAGGGUUGGAGCUAGGGUUAGGGUUAGGGUUAGGGUUGGAGUUAGGGUUAGUGUUGGAGCUAGGGUUAGGGUUGGGCUUGGAGCUAGGAUUUUUCUGAGUGCAAUGAACCAACUCCCGAGUCUCUAGGACAUUCCUAAAAAAAAAUUUGAUUUUUUCCCAUAGGAAUGCAUGGGUUAGGGUUAUGGUUAGGGUUAGGGUUGGAGCUAGGGUUAGGGUUAGGGUUAGGGUUGGAGUUAGGGUUAGUGUUGGAGCUAGGGUUAGGGUUGGGCUUGGAGCUAGGAUUUUUCUGAGUGCAAUGAACCAACUCCCGAGUCUCUAGGACGUUCUAAAAAAAAUUUGAUUUUUUCCCAUAGGAAUGCAUGGGUUAGGGUUAUGGUUAGGGUUAGGGUUGGAGCUAGGGUUAGGGUUAGGGUUAGGGUUGGAGUUAGGGUUAGUGUUGGAGCUAGGGUUAGGGUUGGGCUUGGAGCUAGGAUUUUUCUGAGUGCAAUGAACCAACUCCCGAGUCUCUAGGACGUUCCUAAAAAAAUUUGAUUUUUUCCCAUAGGAAUGCAUGGGUUAGGGUUAGGGUUAGGGUUGGAGCUAGGGUUAGGGUUAGGGUUAGGGUUGGAGUUAGGGUUAGUGUUGGAGCUAGGGUUAGGGUUGGGCUUGGAGCUAGGAUUUUUCUGAGUGCAAUGAACCAACUCCCGAGUCUCUAGGACGUUCCUAAAAAAAAAUUUGAUUUUUUCCCAUAGGAAUGCAUGGGUUAGGGUUAGGGUUAGGGUUGGAGCUAGGGUUAGGGUUAGGGUUAGGGUUGGAGUUAGGGUUAGUGUUGGAGCCAGGGUUAGGGUUGGGCUUGGAGCUAGGAUUUUUCUGAGUGCACUGAACCAACUCCCGAGUCUCUAGGACAUUCCUAAAAAAUUUGAUUUUUUUCCCAUAGGAAUGCAUGGGUUAGGGUUAGUGGUUAGGGUUAGGGUUGGAGCUAGGGUUAGGGUUAGGGUUAGGGUUGGAGUUAGGGUUAGUGUUGGAGCUAGGGUUAGGGUUGGGCUUGGAGCUAGGAUUUUUCUGAGUGCAAUGAACCAACCCCCGAGUCUCUAGGACGUUCCUAAAAAAAUUUGAUUUUUUCCCUAUAGGAAUGCAUGGGUUAGGGUUAGGGUUAGGGUUGGAGCUAGGGUUAGGGUUAGGGUUAGGGUUGGAGUUAGGGUUAGUGUUGGAGCUAGGGUUAGGGUUGGGCUUGGAGCUAGGAUUUUUCUGAGUGCAAUGAACCAACUCCCGAGUCUCUAGGACGUUCCUAAAAAAAUUUGAUUUUUUCCCAUAGGAAUGCAUGGGUUAGGGUUAGGGUUAGGGUUGGAGCUAGGGUUAGGGUUAGGGUUAGGGUUGGAGUUAGGGUUAGUGUUGGAGCUAGGGUUAGGGUUGGGCUUGGAGCUAGGUUUUUCUGAGGGUGCACUGAACCAACUCCCGAGUCUCUAGGACAUUCCUAAAAAAAUUUGAUUUUUUCCCAUAGGAAUGCAUGGGUUAGGGUUAUGGUUAGGGUUGGAGCUAGGGUUAGGGUUAGGGUUAGGGUUGGAGUUAGGGUUAGUGUUGGAGCUAGGGUUAGGGUUGGGCUUGGAGCUAGGAUUUUUCUGAGUGCACUGAACCAACUCCCGAGUCUCUAGGACAUUCCUAAAAAAAUUUGAUUUUUUCCCAUAGGAAUGCAUGGGUUAGGGUUAGGGUUAGGGUUGGAGCUAGGGUUAGGGUUAGGGUUAGGGUUGGAGUUAGGGUUAGUGUUGGAGCUAGGGUUAGGGUUGGGCUUGGAGCUAGGAUUUUUCUGAGUGCACUGAACCAACUCCCGAGUCUCUAGGACAUUCCUAAAAAAAUUUGAUUUUUCCCAUAGGAAUGCAUGGGUUAGGGUUAUGGUUAGGGUUAGGGUUGGAGCUAGGGUUAGGGUUAGGGUUAGGGUUGGAGUUAGGGUUAGUGUUGGAGCUAGGGUUAGGGUUGGGCUUGGAGCUAGGAUUUUUCUGAGUGCACUGAACCAACUCCCGAGUCUCUAGGACAUUCCUAAAAAAAUUUGAUUUUUUUCCCAUAGGAAUGCAUGGGUUAGGGUUAGGGUUAUGGUUAGGGUUAGGGUUAGGGUUAGGGUUAGGGUUGGAGUUAGGGUUAGUGUUGGAGCUAGGGUUAGGGUUGGGCUUGGAGCUAGGAUUUUUCUGAGUGCACUGAACCAACUCCCGGGUCUCUAGGACAUUCCUAAAAAAAUUUGAUUUUUUCCCAUAGGAAUGCAUGGGUUAGGGUUAGGGUUAGGGUUGGAGCUAGGGUUAGGGUUAGGGUUAGGGUUGGAGUUAGGGUUAGUGUUGGAGCUAGGGUUAGGGUUGGGCUUGGAGCUAGGAUUUUUCUGAGUGCAAUGAACCAACUCCCGAGUCUCUAGGACAUUCCUAAAAAAAUUUGAUUUUUUCCCAUAGGAAUGCAUGGGUUAGGGUUAGGGUUAGGGUUGGAGCUAGGGUUAGGGUUAGGGUUAGGGUUGGAGUUAGGGUUAGUGUUGGAGCUAGGGUUAGGGUUGGGCUUGGAGCUAGGAUUUUUCUGAGUGCACUGAACCAACUCCCGAGUCUCUAGGACAUUCCUAAAAAAAUUUGAUUUUUUUCCCAUAGGAAUGCAUGGGUUAGGGUUAUGGUUAGGGUUAGGGUUGGAGCUAGGGUUAGGGUUAGGGUUAGGGUUGGAGUUAGGGUUAGUGUUGGAGCUAGGGUUAGGGUUGGGCUUGGAGCUAGGAUUUUUCUGAGUGCAAUGAACCAACCCCCGAGUCUCUAGGACGUUCCUAAAAAAAUUUGAUUUUUUCCCAUAGGAAUGCAUGGGUUAGGGUUAUGGUUAGGGUUGGAGCUAGGGUUAGGGUUAGGGUUAGGGUUGGAGUUAGGGUUAGUGUUGGAGCUAGGGUUAGGGUUGGGCUUGGAGCUAGGAUUUUUCUGAGUGCAAUGAACCAACUCCCGAGUCUCUAGGACGUUCCUAAAAAAUUUGAUUUUUUCCCAUAGGAAUGCAUGGGUUAGGGUUAGGGUUAGGGUUGGAGCUAGGGUUAGGGUUAGGGUUAGGGUUGGAGUUAGGGUUAGUGUUGGAGCUAGGGUUAGGGUUGGGCUUGGAGCUAGGAUUUUUCUGAGUGCACUGAACCAACUCCCGAGUCUCUAGGACGUUCCUAAAAAAAUUUGAUUUUUUCCCAUAGGAAUGCAUGGGUUAGGGUUAUGGUUAGGGUUAGGGUUAGGGUUGGAGUUAGGGUUAGUGUUGGAGCUAGGGUUAGGGUUGGGCUUGGAGCUAGGAUUUUUCUGAGUGCACUGAACCAACUCCCGAGUCUCUAGGACAUUCCUAAAAAAAUUUGAUUUUUUCCCAUAGGAAUGCAUGGGUUAGGGUUAGGGUUAGGGUUGGAGCUAGGGUUAGGGUUAGGGUUAGGGUUGGAGUUAGGGUUAGUGUUGGAGCUAGGGUUAGGGUUGGGCUUGGAGCUAGGAUUUUUCUGAGUGCACUGAACCAACUCCCGAGUCUCUAGGACAUUCCUAAAAAAAUUUGAUUUUUUCCUAUAGGAAUGCAUGGGUUAGGGUUAUGGUUAGGGUUAGGGUUGGAGCUAGGGUUAGGGUUAGGGUUAGGGUUGGAGUUAGGGUUAGUGUUGGAGCUAGGGUUAGGGUUGGGCUUGGAGCUAGGAUUUUUCUGAGUGCACUGAACCAACUCCCGAGUCUCUAGGACAUUCCUAAAAAAAUUUGAUUUUUUCCCAUAGGAAUGCAUGGGUUAGGGUUAGGGUUAGGGUUGGAGCUAGGGUUAGGGUUAGGGUUAGGGUUGGAGUUAGGGUUAGUGUUGGAGCUAGGGUUAGGGUUGGGCUUGGAGCUAGGAUUUUUCUGAGUGCACUGAACCAACUCCCGAGUCUCUAGGACAUUCCUAAAAAAAUUUGAUUUUUUCCUAUAGGAAUGCAUGGGUUAGGGUUAUGGUUAGGGUUAGGGUUGGAGCUAGGGUUAGGGUUAGGGUUAGGGUUGGAGUUAGGGUUAGUGUUGGAGCUAGGGUUAGGGUUGGGCUUGGAGCUAGGAUUUUUCUGAGUGCACUGAACCAACUCCCGAGUCUCUAGGACAUUCCUA
rnacentral:lncRNA from 1 species